GCGAUGAGCUGAAUUGUGUAAGCCGGUUGACACUCCUUCGCGGAAAUGCACGAUGUGGCGUGCAGUCAAUCGCCUCAAUACGCAGAAAGACGCCUUCUAGGCGUCUUU
rnacentral:sRNA from 1 species